rnacentral:rRNA from 1 species
GUGCCAGCCGCCGCGGUAACACGUAGGGGGCGAGCGUUGUCCGGAUUUAUUGGGCGUAAAGAGCUCGUAGGCGGUUUCGUAAGUCGGAUGUGAAAACUCCAGGCUCAACUUGGAGACGCCAUUCGAUACUGCGAUGACUUGAGUCCGGUAGGGGAGUGUGGAAUUCCUGGUGUAGCGGUGAAAUGCGCAGAUAUCAGGAGGAACACCGGCGGCGAAGGCGGCACUCUGGGCCGGUACUGACGCUGAGGAGCGAAAGCGUGGGUAGCAAACAGGAUUAGAUACCCCCGUAGUCC